GGGUUUGUGGCUCAGUGGUAGAGCAUCUACUUGGGAUGGAGAAGGUCCCAUGUUCAAUCCCUGGCAUCUCCA